rnacentral:lncRNA from 1 species
AGAGUUUCCCGGUGGCGGUUGCAGGGGCUGCGCUGAUCUUAACGUCGACCCCGUGGGGCCUGGCUGGGCGAUCCAGCUCACCACAGAUGCAGGCACUUUCAAGAUUGCAGCAAAAGGGCCUGGAGCUUGAGCUGGAACCCACGCUGCUUGUCUGGGGCUUGAGCCGCCUUCAUCACGCAUGCCAGCUCACCCCUGAGUCACACCUGCUCCCUGAGCCUCUGGCUCGGGGCCUCCCACAGAUGGAUCACCUGCUGUGUACCUGACUCCAAGCAGUUAACUUGGCUGAACUCAAACUUCAAACUCUCCCCAUUUUUGGGAGGCCAAGGUGGGAGGAUCACUUGAGGCCAGGAGUUGGAGACCAACCUGGGCAACAUAGCAAGGCCUCAUCUCUACCAUAAAUAAAAAGGUUUUAAGAAAGAAGUAUAUAAAAUUGUAUAAAGAACAAAUUAAUAAUUCCCUAAACCUCACCAUGGACAUUUUGAUCCUGCUCAAACACCUUUCUUUUUUCUUUUUCUUUUUUUUGUUUUUUUUGAGAUGGAGUCUUGCUGUGUCACCCAGGCUGCAGUGCAGUGGCACGAUCUCAGCUCACUGCAACCUCCACCUCCUGGGUUCAAGCAAUUCUCCCUGCCUCAGCCUCCUGAGUAGCUGGGAUUACAGGCACCUGCCACCACGCCCGGCUAAUUUUUGUAUUUUUAGUAGAGACAGGGUUUCACCAUGUUGGCCAGGCUGGUCUUGAACUCCUGACCUCAGGUGAUCCACCCUCCUCGGCCUCCCAAAGUGCUGGGAUUACAGGCAUGAACCACUGUGCCCAGUCCUCAAACACCUUUCUGUUUCUCUGCUUUCAUACACACGUUUGUCCACAAAUAUAUCACAUACAUUGCUGUUUUCACGGAAACUUUUAAAACACUUUUGUUUUGUCUGACCCUCUUUUCCAUCUCCCUGGUCUUUCCCUGAUAUUCCCCAAACCAAAGUUAAUAACCUGGCGUGUAUCCCAUAUCUUCCAUGUGCCUGUGCAUCGUAUACAUAUAGGGCUUGCUGAUCUUUAUUUGACCAAAUGGAUCACAUUACAUAUAUUUCUUGAAUUUUUCAACUAACAAUGCAUUGUGGAAACCCAUCCAAGUGAAUCUAUUCUUUCUCUUUUUUUUUGAGACAAAGUUUCACUCUUGUUGCCCAAGCUGGAGUGCAAUGGCGUGAUCUCGGCUCACUGCAGCCUCCACCUCCCAGGUUCAAGCGAUUCUUCUGCCUCAGCCUCCUGAGUAGCUGGGAUUACAGGCGCACACCACCAUGUCCAGCUGAUUUUUUGUAUUUUUAACAGAAAUGGGGUUUCACCAUGUUAGCCAGGCUGGUCUCGAACUCCUGACCUCAGGUGAUCUGCCCACCUUAGCAUCCCGAAGUGCUGGGAUUACAGGCAUGAGCCACCGCACCCGGCUGAAUCUAUUUUUUUUAAUGGUUGCUUCUUGUUCCAUGGCAUGACCGUAUAAUUAUUUAAACCCUUUUCUAUUGACAGAUUCUUUCUGGCUCUUUGGCCACUACAAAUAUUGUGACAUUAACACCUUUAUAUAUUCCUACAUCUGAGUGCUUUUGUUUAUUUCUGGGACAAAUUUCUUAUGAGUGGGAUUGUUGGGUUGAAGCCUAUGUAUACUUAGAUCUUUAAAAUAGAUUUGUUCCAUAUUGCUUUCCAAAAAGGCAGUAUCAGUUCUCAUUUGAACCAGCAGUGUAUGAAAAUAUACUUUUCCUAUCACUCUCAUCAGUAGUAGGUGUUAACAUUCUUUUGAAUUGUUGCCAGUAUGAUGGGUGAGAAGUGCUACCUCAUUGUUACUUUAAUUUGCAUUUCCCUGAGUACUAGGAGGUUGAGCCAUAUGUUUAUUGGCCAUUUGGGUUUACUCUUCUCUGAGCCUAUUCAUAUCCUGGGAAUAUUUUUCUAUUGGAUGCUUUGUCUUUUGCUUAACAAUUUGUAAGAGCUAAAAAUUAACUCUUUCUCCGUCGUAGGCGUUGCGAAUAUGUUUUCCCCAAAUUCAGUGCUUGUCUUUUAGCUUUGUUUAUGGGAACAUUUAGCCAUCUAAAAAUGUUUAAAAUUUAUUUAUUUUUUACUUUUUUGAGACAGAGUCUCACUCUGGUGCCCAGGCUGCAGUGCUGUGGUGCGAUGUUGGCUCACUGCAACCUCCGCCUCUGGGUUCAAACAAUUCUCCUGCUGAGCCCAGUCUCCUGAGUAGCUGGGAUUACAGGCACCCACCACACCCAGCUAAUUUUUGUAUUUUUAGUAGAGAUGGGGUUCCACCAUGUUGGCCAGGCUGGUCUUGAACUCCUGACCUCAGGUGAUCCGCCUGCCUCAGUCUCCCAAAGGGCUGGGAUUACAGGCAUGAGCCACCGUGCCCGGCCUAAAAAAGUUUAAGUUGUAUGUAGUCAGAGAGUUGUACUUCCAAUAAUGACAGAGUACCUUGUAAAAGACAAUCUCUCCCACAGAUAGCAAUUAUAAAUUCUGGACAAAAGGCUAGGUGGGGGCACUAAAAGUGACCCAAACCAGGCAGAACUUAUAACAUCUGACAUUUCUAAGAAGGGAAUGACAGUGUUUCUUAUUUUUAUAUUUUAUAUGACUGGCUCCCCUCUGAGGCCGGAGGCUUGGCUGCCAUCAAAUUCAGGCCUCCCUGGGUCACUGCCCUGCGGGGCCCACAUAGCACCACAUAAGUCAGUUAAAAGUUGGAUAGAAAUCUGCAUUCUUACUUGUUAAGGAAUCACAGGGCAGAAUCUGGGACUUCCACAGAAAUUGAAAAGUAAAGGAGGAAAUUCCGGGAAGGAGAACUCCAUGGAGGAUAUGUUCCGAAUUCUCCACCCAAACUUCAGGCUGUUUUCUGAACUGUGAAUUCAUCUGGGAGGCUCCUGGAAUCCUAACUGUGGCUAAAAUAGCUGAACAGAGAUUUCAGCUGCUGUCUACCAGAGGGGAGACUUUGAAGUUUGAGUUCAGCCAAGUUAACUGCCUGCUAAAAUAAAAAGCCGACACUCAGAAGAACAUAAUAAAAUCCAGAGUCUCUACAACUUAUCAUUGACAGUGUCCAGGAUACAAUCCAAAACUACUAGAUAUAUGAAGAAACGGCAAAAUGUGAGCCAUAUUAAUAGAAAAGGCAAUCAAUGGAGAAUAACCUUAAUGUGACCUAGAUGUUAGAAUUAAGAGACAAGAAUUUAAAAGUAGCUGUUAUAACUAUGCUCAAGGACAUGAAGAAAAAUAUACUAGCAAUGAAUGAUUAAACAGAAAACUUCAGUUGGAAAUAGACUAUACAAAUGAGCAAAUGGGAAUUCUAGAACCAAAAAAUACAAUAUCUG